UUUCCGUAGGUGAACCUGCGGAGGGAUCAUUACCGAGUGAGGGUUCCGGCCCGACCUCCAACCCUUUGUGAAUUCGACCCAGUUGCCUCGGGGGCGACCCCGCGCCCGGCGCGGGCCAGCCCCCGGUGGACACCACACAAACCCUGCGUCGCAUGCGUCGGUUGAAUUGAUUGAAUAUCAAAAAACUUUCAACAACGGAUCUCUUGGUUCUGGCAUCGAUGAAGAACGCAGC
rnacentral:misc_RNA from 1 species